rnacentral:rRNA from 1 species
AUUGAACGCUGGCGGCAUGCUUUACACAUGCAAGUCGAACGGCAGCACGGGCUUCGUCCUGGUGGCGCGUGGCGAACGGGUGAGUAAUAAAUCGGAACGUACCCAGAAGUGGGGGAUAACGUAGCGAAAGUAACGCUAAUACCGCAUACGAUCUAUGGAUGAAAGCAGGGGACCGCAAGGCCUUGUGCUCCUGGAGCGGCCGAUAUCUGAUUAGCUAGGUGGUGAGGUAAAGGCGCAACAAGGCGACGAUCAGUAGCUGGUCUGAGAGGACGACCGGCCACAAGGGAACGGAGACACCGUACAGACGCCUCCGGGAGCCACCCGGAGGGAAUUCUUCCCAAGGUGCGAAAGCCUGACCGACCAACGCCACGUGAGUGAAGAAGGACUUCUGAUCGUAAAACGCUGUUAGUCGGAAAGAACGACUGUGUACCUAACUAUGCACCGCUUGACGGUACCUAAUCAGAAAGCCACGGCUAACUACCUG